AGCGAACGCUGGCGGCAGGCCUAACACAUGCAAGUCGAACGAACUCUUCGGAGUUAGUGGCGGACGGGUGAGUAACACGUGGGAACGUGCCUUUUGGUGCGGAAUAACUCAGGGAAACUUGUGCUAAUACCGAAUGUGCCCUUCGGGGGAAAGAUUUAUCGCCAUUUGAGCGGCCCGCGUCUGAUUAGCUAGUUGGUGAGGUAACGGCACACCAAGGCGACGAUCAGUAGCUGGUCUGAGAGGAUGACCAGCCACACUGGGACUGAGACACGGCCCAGACUCCUACGGGAGGCAGCAGUGGGGAAUCUUGCGCAAUGGGCGAAAGCCUGACGCAGCCAUGCCGCGUGAAUGAUGAAGGUCUUAGGAUUGUAAAAUUCUUUCACCGGGGACGAUAAUGACGGUACCCGGAGAAGAAGCCCCGGCUAACUUCGUG
rnacentral:rRNA from 1 species